rnacentral:rRNA from 1 species
UACGUAGGGGGCAAGCGUUGUCCGGAAUCAUUGGGCGUAAAGCGCGUGUAGGCGGUUCGGUAAGUCGGCUGUGAAAGUCCAGGGCUCAACCCCUGGGAUGCCGGUCGAUACUGCCGGACUAGAGUUCGGAAGAGGCGAGUGGAAUUCCCCGGUGUAGCGGUGAAAUGCGCAGAUAUCGGGAGGAACACCAAUGGCGAAGGCAGCUCGCUGGGACGUUACUGACGCAUGAGA